GACGAACGCUGGCGGCGUGCUUAACACAUGCAAGUCGAACGAAGAGCGACGGAAGCUUGCUUCUAUCAAUCUUAGUGGCGAACGGGUGAGUAACGCGUAAUCAACCUGCCCUUCAGAGGGGGACAACAGUUGGAAACGACUGCUAAUACCGCAUACGAUCUAAUCUCGGCAUCGAGGAUGGAUGAAAGGUGGCCUCUACAUGUAAGCUAUCACUGAAGGAGGGGAUUGCGUCUGAUUAGCUAGUUGGAGGGGUAACGGCCCACCAAGGCGAUGAUCAGUAGCCGGUCUGAGAGGAUGAACGGCCACAUUGGGACUGAGACACGGCCCAGACUCCUACGGGAGGCAGCAGUGGGGAAUCUUCCGCAAUGGACGAAAGUCUGACGGAGCAACGCCGCGUGAGUGAUGACGGCCUUCGGGUUGUAAAGCUCUGUUAAUCGGGACGAAAGGCCUUCUUGCGAAUAGUGAGAAGGAUUGACGGUACCGGAAUAGAAAGCCACGGCUAACUACGUA
rnacentral:rRNA from 1 species